rnacentral:rRNA from 1 species
GCAUAUCAAUAAGCGGAGGAAAAGAAACCAACAGGGAUUGCCCUAGUAACGGCGAGUGAAGCGGCAAUAGCUCAAAUUUGAAAGCUGGCCUUAUGGUCCGCAUUGUAAUUUGUAGAGGAUGCUUUUAGGCAGCCGCCGGUCUAAGUUCCUUGGAACAGGACGUCAUAGAGGGUGAGAAUCCCGUAUGUGACCGGCUCUGGCACCUUCUGUAAAGCUCCUUCGACGAGUCGAGUUGUUUGGGAAUGCAGCUCUAAAUGGGAGGUAAAUUUCUUCUAAAGCUAAAUACUGGCGAGAGACCGAUAGCGCACAAGUAGAGUGAUCGAAAGAUGAAAAGCACUUUGGAAAGAGAGUUAAAAAGCACGUGAAAUUGUUGAAAGGGAAGCGCUUGCAAUCAGACUUGGCUUCGGUUGUUCAACAGGUCUUCUGACCUGCCUACUCAAUCGUUGCCAGGCCAGCAUCAGUUUUGGCGGCCGGAUAAAGGCCCUGGGAAUGUGGCCGCUCCUUCGGGGCGGUGUUAUAGCCCAGGGUGUAAUACGGUCAGCCGGGACUGAGGUCCGCGCUUCGGCUAGGAUGCUGGCGUAAUGGUUGUAAGCGGCCCGUCUUGAAACACGGACC